rnacentral:rRNA from 1 species
AUUGAACGCUGGCGGCAUGCCUUACACAUGCAAGUCGAACGGUAACAGGUUAAGCUGACGAGUGGCGAACGGGUGAGUAAUACAUCGGAACGUGCCCAGACGUGGGGGAUAGCACGGCGAAAGCCGGAUUAAUACCGCAUAAGCUCUGAGGAGGAAAGCGGGGGACCGUAAGGCCUCGCGCGUUUGGAGCGGCCGAUGGCAGAUUAGGUAGUUGGUGGGGUAAAGGCUUACCAAGCCUACGAUCUGUAGCUGGUCGGAGAGGACGACCAGCCACACUGGGACUGAGACACGGCCCAGACUCCUACGGGAGGCAGCAGUGGGGAAUUUUGGACAAUGGGCGAAAGCCUGAUCCAGCAAUGCCGCGUGCAGGAUGAAGGCCUUCGGGUUGUAAACUGCUUUUGUACGGAACGAAAAGGCGCCUACUAAUACUGGGUGUUGAUGACGGUACCGUAAGAAUAAGCACCGGCUAACUACGUGCCAGCCGCCGCUGUAAUAC